GAUGAACGCUGGCGGCGUGCCUAAUACAUGCAAGUCGAGCGAACGGACGAGAAGCUUGCUUCUCUGAUGUUAGCGGCGGACGGGUGAGUAACACGUGGAUAACCUACCUAUAAGACUGGGAUAACUUCGGGAAACCGGAGCUAAUACCGGAUAAUAUUUUGAACCGCAUGGUUCAAAAGUGAAAGACGGUCUUGCUGUCACUUAUAGAUGGAUCCGCGCUGCAUUAGCUAGUUGGUAAGGUAACGGCUUACCAAGGCAACGAUGCAUAGCCGACCUGAGAGGGUGAUCGGCCACACUGGAACUGAGACACGGUCCAGACUCCUACGGGAGGCAGCAGUAGGGAAUCUUCCGCAAUGGGCGAAAGCCUGACGGAGCAACGCCGCGUGAGUGAUGAAGGUCUUCGGAUCGUAAAACUCUGUUAUUAGGGAAGAACAUAUGUGUAAGUAACUGUGCACAUCUUGACGGUACCUAAUCAGAAAGCCACGGCUAACUACGUGCCAGCAGCCGCGGUAAUACGUAGGUGGCAAGCGUUAUCCGGAAUUAUUGGGCGUAAAGCGCGCGUAGGCGGUUUUUUAAGUCUGAUGUGAAAGCCCACGGCUCAACCGUGGAGGGUCAUUGGAAACUGGAAAACUUGAGUGCAGAAGAGGAAAGUGGAAUUCCAUGUGUAGCGGUGAAAUGCGCAGAGAUAUGGAGGAACACCAGUGGCGAAGGCGACUUUCUGGUCUGUAACUGACGCUGAUGUGCGAAAGCGUGGGGAUCAAACAGGAUUAGAUACCCUGGUAGUCCACGCCGUAAACGAUGAGUGCUAAGUGUUAGGGGGUUUCCGCCCCUUAGUGCUGCAGCUAACGCAUUAAGCACUCCGCCUGGGGAGUACGACCGCAAGGUUGAAACUCAAAGGAAUUGACGGGGACCCGCACAAGCGGUGGAGCAUGUGGUUUAAUUCGAAGCAACGCGAAGAACCUUACCAAAUCUUGACAUCCUUUGACAACUCUAGAGAUAGAGCCUUCCCCUUCGGGGGACAAAGUGACAGGUGGUGCAUGGUUGUCGUCAGCUUGUGUCGUGAGAUGUUGGGUUAAGUCCCGCAACGAGCGCAACCCUUAAGCUUAGUUGCCAUCAUUAAGUUGGGCACUCUAAGUUGACUGCCGGUGACAAACCGGAGGAAGGUGGGGAUGACGUCAAAUCAUCAUGCCCCUUACGAUUUGGGCUACACACGUGCUACAAUGGACAAUACAAAGGGCAGCGAAACCGCGAGGUCAAGCAAAUCCCAUAAAGUUGUUCUCAGUUCGGAUUGUAGUCUGCAACUCGACUACAUGAAGCUGGAAUCGCUAGUAAUCGUAGAUCAGCAUGCUACGGUGAAUACGUUCCCGGGUCU
rnacentral:rRNA from 1 species